ACAGUGAUUUGCCUUGUUAUCUUCUGAGGAUAUCCUCUCUAAAGAGUUAGAAGAAACUUUUCAAAAGUGGCAAAACAUAUGUCAUUAUAAUGAAUGGAGCCACUCAUGCCUCCACUGAUAGAUACGGAGAGAUUUGGUAUAUUAUACAGUCCCAUAAGAGACUCUGCAUCUGUUUUCCAGUACAGCUGAUUGUGCUUGGCUCUCCACCAUGUCACUGCAGCAAAGGAAGGCUUGUAGACAACCCAAGAUCUACCUUGAGCAGUGAGACUUAAAAGAGAUGAUGUCUUCCAAAAGAGACCAUGACAGAGAUGGGGAGAAAACAGAAGGGACUUGAGAGAGAGCAAGGAGACAAGAGACAGAGGAGGUGGAGAGGACCUAGGAAGGAUUAUCAGCUGACUGGAGGUAA